GCCCGAUUAGCUCAGCUGGUUAGAGCGUCGUACUAAUAUUGCCGCAAGGUUAAUAUCAAGUCAUGCGAAGGUCAACAGUUCAAUCCUGUUAUUGGGCA
rnacentral:tRNA from 2 species